AAUAGAUACCCUGGUAGUCCACGCCGUAAACGAUGGAUGCUAGCUGUUAGGAGUAUCGACCCUCCUAGUAGCGUAGCUAACGCGUUAAGCAUCCCGCCUGUGGAGUACGAGCGCAAGCUUAAAACAUAAAGGAAUUGACGGGGACCCGCACAAGCGGUGGAGCGUGUUGUUUAAUUCGAUGGUAAGCGAAGAACCUUACCCAGGCUUGACAUCCUGCCAAAGACUCCGAAAGGAGACUGUGCCUUCGGGCCGCAGUGACAGGUGAUGCAUGGCCGUCGUCAGCUCGUGUCGUGAGAUGUUUGGUUAAGUCCAUCAACGAGCGCAACCCCUAUGACUAGUUGUAUUUCUCUAGUCAGACUGCCCUGGCAACAGGGAGGAAGGAGGGGAUGAUGUCAGGUCAGUAUCUCCCUUACGCCUGGGGCUACAAACACGCUACAAUGGCCGGUACAAAGGGCAGCCAACCCGCGAGGGGAGCAAAUCCCAUCAAAGCCGGUCUCAGUUCGGAUUGCAGGCUGAAACUCG
rnacentral:rRNA from 1 species